GGAUGAGGAAUUCUGGGAAUUGAAGUCCACUAGAAGGGGUGGGAUUCUACCAGUUCUCACCUUUUCGCUAGAACCGCUUGUUCACAUUCUAAGCAGUUCAGAGAACCAAUUGUUAGAAGAAAUUACUGGCCUAAUCCUGUAAGGAAGACAGGAAGGAAACAUUCUAGUGUUGCU